rnacentral:rRNA from 1 species
GUAAUAGCUCACUGGUCGAGUGAAGUUGCGCGGAAAAUUACCGGGGCUAAGUUAUACACCGAAAUUGCGGAUUCAUUAAGAAAUUAAUGAGUGGUAGAGGAGCGUUCUAUACAGGAUGAAGUAUGAUCGAGAGGACAUAUGGACAGUAUAGAAGAGAGAAUGCCGGAAUGAGUAGCGAGAGCAAAGUGAGAAUCUUUGCCGUCGAAAAUCUAAGGUUUCCUGGGGAAGGUUCGUCCGCCCAGGGUAAGUCGGGACCUAAGGUGAGGCCGAAGGGCGUAGCCGAUGGACAGCAGGUUAAGAUUCCUGCACCAGUAUACAUGUAUAAUGCAUAAGAGGACACAUUUGAAGAAGAUGAGCGAGGAAGAGGAAAAACUCGUAUGGCAACAUAUAGUGAAAUAAAGUAACGAAUCAUCAAGAGGCAAGUGGCGAGAAAAGUCUUAUGUAGUUGUGUAGACUGCCCGUACCGCAAACCGACACAGGUAGAUGAGGAGAGGAUCCUAAGACGAGCGGGAGAAGCAUUGUUAAGGAACUCGGCAAAUUGACCCCGUAACUUAGGGAUAAGGGGUGCUGGUGUAAAAGCCAGUCGCAGUAAAUAGGCCCAAGCAACUGUUUAACAAAAACACAGGUUUCUGCUAAAUCGCAAGAUGAAGUAUAGGAGCUGACUCCUGCCCAGUGCUGGAAGGUUAAGGGGAAAGGUUAAGAAUAAUUCAUUAUAUCUGAAGCUUUGAACUCAAGCCCCAGUGAACGGCGGCCGUAACUAUAACGGUCCUAAGGUAGCGAAAUUCCUUGUCAGGUAAGUUCUGACCCGCACGAAAGGAGUAAUGAUUUGGGCACUGUCUCAACAAUGUACCCGGCGAAAUUGUAGUACUAGUGAAGAUGCUAGUUACCUGCGACAAGACGGAAAGACCCCAUGGAGCUUUACUAUAGCCUGAUAUUGGGCUUUGGUAUCUUAUGUACAGGAUAGGUGGGAGACUAUGAGAUUAAGACGCAAGUCUUAAAGGAGUCAACCUUGGAAUACCACCCUUAAGAUAUUAGAGUUCUAACUUGUGAUCAUAAACUGGUCAGAGGACAUUGUCAGGUGGGUAGUUUGACUGGGGCGGUCACCUCCUAAAGAGUAACGGAGGUGCGCAAAGGUUUCCUCGGCACGGUCAGAAAUCGUGCUAAUGAGUGUAAAGGCAUAAGGAAGCUUAACUGAGAGAGAGACAUCUCGACCAGAUACGAAAGUAGGUCUUAGUGAUCCGGUGGUAGAAAAUGGAAUUGCCAUCGCUCAACGGAUAAAAGUUACCCUGGGGAUAACAGGCUUAUCUCCCCCAAGAGUUCACAUCGACGGGGAGGUUUGGCACCUCGAUGUCGGCUCAUCGCAUCCUGGGGCUGUAGUCGGUCCCAAGGGUUGGGCUGUUCGCCCAUUAAAGCGGUACGCGAGCUGGGUUCAGAACGUCGUGAGACAGUUCGGUCCCUAUCUGUCGCAGGCGCAGGAUAUUUGAAAGGAGCUGUCCUUAGUACGAGAGGACCAGGAUGGACAUACCAAUGGUGCAACAGUUGUCACACCAGUGGCACAGCUGUGUAGCUAAGUAUGGAAGGGAUAAACGCUGAAAGCAUCUAAGCGUGAAGCCCCCCUUAAGAUAAGAUAUCCCACAACGUCAAGUUGGUAAGAUUCCAGUUAGACUAACUGGUUGAUAGGUUAGAGGUGUAAGUGUGGUGACACAUUUAGCUGACUAAUACUAAUAAUCGAGGGCUUAACCA